GUCUUUUUGAUUAUAAUUUAAAGUCUAACCUGCCCACUGAAUUUUUUGAAGGGCCGCGGUAUUUUGACUGUGCAAAGGUAGCAUAAUCAUUAGUCUUUUAAUUGAAGGCUUGUAUGAAUGGUUGGAUGAGGUAAUAACUGUCUCAAAUUAAUAAAUAAUAAAACUUUAUUUUUAAGUUAAAAAGCUUAAAUAUAAUUAGAGGACGAGAAGACCCUAUAGAUCUUUAUAAAUUAAUAAAUUUUAAUUUUUUAGUUAAAAUAUGUUUUUAUUUGUUAAUUUAUUUUAUUGGGGUGAUAAAAAAAUUUAAAAAACUUUUUUUUUAAUUAAACAAUGAUUUUUGAUUAAUUGAUCCAUUAUUAAUGAUUAAAAGAUUAAGUUACCUUAGGGAUAACAGCGUAAUUUUUUUGAAGAGUUCAUAUCGAUAAAAAAGAUUGCGACCUCGAUGUUGAAUUAAAGGUUAAUUUUAGGUGUAGAAGUUUAAAGUUUUGGUCUGUUCGACCAUUAAAUC
rnacentral:rRNA from 1 species